rnacentral:rRNA from 1 species
CUACGUGCCAGCAGCCGCGGUAAUACGUAGGUGGCGAGCGUUGUCCGGAAUCAUUGGGCGUAAAGCGCUCGUAGGCGGUCUGUUAGGUCGGGAGUUAAAUCCGGGGGCUCAACCCCCGUUCGCUCCCGAUACCGGCAGACUUGAGUUUGGUAGGGGAAGGUGGAAUUCCUAGUGUAGCGGUGGAAUGCGCAGAUAUUAGGAAGAACACCAGUGGCGAAGGCGGCCUUCUGGGCCAUAACUGACGCUGAGGAGCGAAAGCUAGGGGAGCAAACAGGAUUAGAUACCCUGGUAGUCCUAGCCGUAAACGAUGGACACUAGGUGUGGGGGAAUAUUUCUUCCGUGCCGCAGCUAACGCAUUAAGUGUCCCGCCUGGGGAGUACGGCCGCAAGGCUAAAACUCAAAGGAAUUGACGGGGGCCCGCACAAGCAGCGGAGCAUGUGGUUUAAUUCGAAGCAACGCGAAGAACCUUACCAGGGCU